CUCUGAACGUGGAAAAGCUACAUGUUUGCUCAAAGGAAACUGUUCAUAUUCAAAAUUAGGUAUGCAGAUGUUGAUUCCAGAAAGUAUCAUAUGUGGUCAGGAACAUGAGACAGAGAAAGAACGAAAACCCAAAUAAGAAUUUACUAAGUGUUGCAAAAGAUAUGAGAGCCCUGCUGGUCAUAUGACCUGACCUUGCAACAAGAAGCUAGAGGGCAGCUACAGGAAUCUCUAACUUGCUAGCCAUUGAUGUUGGGCUGCUCAUUCAGAAAGACAUCCAGCUUUGAGGAUGAAGCUUCCAGGGAAAAGGGAUGUUCAUUUCUAUUUGCUGCUUUGCUGUCUCCCCUGAAGCUGCCCUCCUACCAAAUGUACAGUUUAGAAAUCAUUUACAUUUGUUAAGCUUCACUGCCUUUCUAUCUAAAGUUAUAAAAAGGAUUCAUCUCAUAGUUUCUCCAAGAACUUCCAUUAAAAAAAAAAACCUUUCUAUUUAAUUAUCUCAAUAUGUGUUCUUUUAAAUUUCAGACAGUACUCUAUGUGUGGAGGAAAUGAGUGGAAAGAUUUAAUAUCGGAAAUGUCCAGGAAGUCACUGAAGUCCAGAAAUUCAUUGUCUUUCUUUUAUUUUCAUCAAUUAUACUUUCUAAGAUGUAUGCAAAAUCUUUGAUGAUGUCCAUUUUAUUCAUUCUACAUCAAUUUUUAUUCCAAAGCAAGGCAUUUUUUCCUAUUAAAAAGCUAUACACUGAAAGAUUUUCCUUGAUCUGCCUUAGUAUAAAAUAGAGAUAGUACAGAAUACCCUUAUUUUAUACUGAAGCUAAUGCAUGCAAAUCAGACUCCAAAUCAGAUUCUGUACU